rnacentral:rRNA from 1 species
GAUGAACGCUAGCGGCAGGCUUAACACAUGCGAGUCGAACGGCAGCACAGGUAGCAAUACUGGGUGGCGAGUGGCGCACGGGUGCGUAACGCGUAUGCAACUUACCUCUAACUGGAGAAUAGCCCAAAGAAAUUCGGAUUAAUACUCCAUAAUAUAUAUUGACCGCAUGGUUGAAAUAUUAAAGUUUUUACGGUUAGAGAUAGGCAUGCGUGACAUUAGCUAGUUGGUAAGGUAAUGGCUUACCAAGGCUACGAUGUCUAGGGGGUCUGAGAGGAUGAUCCGCCACACUGGAGCUGAGACACGGUCCAGACUCCUACGGGAGGCAGCAGUGGGGAAUUUUGGACAAUGGGCGCAAGCCUGAUCCAGCCAUGCCGCGUGAGUGAAGAAGGCCUU